GAGAGAGAUACUUGUCCGUUCCCGAUGACGACAUGCCAUACGUACCCGGUGAUGUCAUGCAAAAACAAUAUGAUGCCGUGUGACACCAUUGUGAAAAGGGAAAACUAAAAUAAACCAUCCCACGUAAAAUUAUAUGAUGAAAUGUUAAAAAAACUAUUUCAAACUGGAUAAUUUUGCUCCGCAACAAGAACUGCCGUUCGAAAUCUUCAUUUUUGCUCUGCAAACCUUUGAUCUCCUGUUGCAUGGAGGUAAUGUGGGUAGCAUUUGCAGCAGAGGUGUCCUCCAGAGUGCCCAGC